GAUUUUUCUAGGACGAGCUUGCUGUGGCUGGUUUUCGUGAGGCAAACUUGGCUGUUCUUGUCAUUGGAGGAGCUCAGGUUCUCACUGUCACUGGGAAUGGCUGCUGUUCUCAUCAGCGGAGGUAUGGUCUUCUCCUUGAGCAUUGCUUCCUGGCUCUAGUGCAGAUCCCUCAGCCUAGUGGCACAAAUCCUUUACUCCACCAGCACAGGCUUUCUAGCUUCCACCACUUGCCUUUGGGCCUUCCUGGUGCAGAUCCUUACUACGGACUUGCAUGAGACACUGCCGUGGGCUCUAGGCCUCUGUCAGGACAUUGCCUUGGACUCCCGGCCUUCAGCUGGACUUGUGUGGGGCAUAGCUGUGGGAUCCAGGCCCUCGGCUGGAUUCUUUGGGGCUCUAAUGCACAGAUAGAUCUCUUGCACUCUUCUGCAUUUGACAUUUUGGGUCUCUCAUAUUAGAAACCCUGAGAUAUUGAACCUUUUGCAACUGACUCAUUUCACUCAGCAUUAAAGUCUCAAGAUUCAUCAGUUUUCCUACAAAUGACUCAAAUGUGCAUCCAUUUUCUUACAAAUGAUUCAAGUUUAUUCUUCUCUGGCAGAGUAGUACUCCACUGUGUGUAAAUGGCACAUUUUAUUUAUCCAUUCAUCUGUCUCCAUACUGAUUUCCAAAGUGGUUUUAUUAAUUUACAUUUCCACCAAGAAUAUAUAAGGCUUCUUUCACCGUAACCUCACCAGCAUUUGUUAUUUUCUGAGUCCUUGAUAAUGGCCAUUCUUACUAGGGUAAGGUGAAAUCUCAGUGUUGAUUUGAAUUUUAUUUCAUAAUGGCUAAAGUUGCUGAAUAUUAAAAAUGAUUUUAUUAGCCAUUUGUAUUUCUCCAUCUGUUAAGUGUCUAUUUAUUGUAAUUUCCCUGUUUUGAUUGGGUCUUUAAUUUUGGAGGUCUAAGUUUUCAAGUGCUUUAAAUAUUCUAGAUAUAAGUCCUCUGUCUGAGUACCACCUAUGGAAGACUGGAUGGGAAUAAUGAGGUCUAAUUGGCUUCCUCGGGGAGCACUGAGAAGAAAGAGGGCAUGCAAGCGUGUAACAUGCCGCAGGGAAAAUUAAAAACACCUGAAGUUAAGUUCUUUACCCAGAGAAGUACCAUGGAGGAUGGGAGACAGAUGAGUCCUGUGAAACCUUAAUUGCUUGUGUCUGUGUCUGAGUGAAUAAAACCAAGGUGCAGCAAUCAUUUGGGUCUCUAUGUUGAAGGGAGACAUGAACCCCCUGCCCUUGCCCAGAUUUUAACCUGUUUCUGUGUCUCUUUGUUUUUCAUCCUUGUGAACCCUUGGUCAGAUUCAAGCUUUGCGUGGGCUCUUAGUUUCUUUUGACAUUUUAUAUUUUUGUCAUGAAUUCCUCACUUUUUGAUACUUUAUGAUUACCCUGAUCAUGUAUUUACCAUCCCAUUCCUGGUAUUAGCCAUUUCUUCAGAGCCCUGGCUCUUUUGAUAAAAGAACAGUAUUAAAAUCUUACAUGAGUCAGCUAGACAUGGUCAUCUUAUAUUGACCCUUAUGACUGAUACUGAAAUGAACUGUAGGUGUGCACUCUAAUUUGCACAUACACACCUAGUUAUAAAUAUUUUAUGUGGAAUAAUCAGCUAUACAUAGGUUUAUAUUUAUACUGUUGUCUCCAAUCAGUGGACUCUGAUCAAUUGUAAUCCCAAUCAGACUUUUCCCCUUAUAUCUAUAAUUUUUCACAGAAACUUGACCUCUGACACCUGCCACUCAUAUAGUUUAUUGUUC
rnacentral:lncRNA from 1 species